UCAGCUGUGAAGUUCUGGUUUCAGUUCUGAAGAACAACCCGUCCAGACUGACAGAACUGGACCUGAGUGGAAACAGAAUCCAGGAUUCCGGAUUUCUUCAUCUGCGUGGUUUUCUGGAGAGUCCAGACUGCAGACUGCUGACUCUGAGGUUGAGGAUCUGCAAUUUGUCAAAGAUCAGCUGUGCUGCUCUGGUCGCAACUCUGAAUUUAAACCCAUCCCACCUGACAGAACUCGACCUGAGCUUAAAUGACCUUCAUUCUUCAGAUGUUCAGCAGCUCCGGGAUCUGGUGAAGAGUCCAAACUCCAAACUGCAGACUCUGAGGUUGUGAGUCUGAUGUUCCUUCUGGUGGAUCAGAGAAAAUCAUCAUUAUCAUCAUCAUCAUCAUCAUCAUCAUCAUCAUCAUCAUCAUCAUCAUCUGGUCUGCAGAGAUGUUGUUCCUGGAGGUGGAGAGCAGAGUGAUGGAGGAAUCAGAGGAAGUG